UCAGUAGGGGUUCUGAGAGGAAGGUCCCCCACAUUGGAACUGAGACACGGUCCAAACUCCUACGGGAGGCAGCAGUGAGGAAUAUUGGUCAAUGGACGAGAGUCUGAACCAGCCAAGUAGCGUGCAGGAAGACGGCCCUAUGGGUUGUAAACUGCUUUUAUAAGGGAAUAAAGUGAGAGUCGUGACUCUUUUUGCAUGUACCUUAUGAAUAAGGACCGGCUAAUUCCGUGCCAGCAGCCGCGGUAAUACGGAAGGUCCGGGCGUUAUCCGGAUUUAUUGGGUUUAAAGGGAGCGUAGGCCGGAGAUUAAGCGUGUUGUGAAAUGUAGACGCUCAACGUCUGCACUGCAGCGCGAACUGGUUUCCUUGAGUACGCACAAAGUGGGCGGAAUUCGUGGUGUAGCGGUGAAAUGCUUAGAUAUCACGAAGAACUCCGAUUGCGAAGGCAGCUCACUGGAGCGCAACUGACGCUGAAGCUCGAAAGUGCGGGUAUCGAACAGGAUUAGAUACCCUGGUAGUCCGCACGGUAAACGAUGGAUGCCCGCUGUUGGUCUGAAUAGGUCAGCGGCCAAGCGAAAGCAUUAAGCAUCCCACCUGGGGAGUACGCCGGCAACGGUGAAACUCAAAGGAAUUGACGGGGGCCCGCACAAGCGGAGGAACAUGUGGUUUAAUUCGAUGAUACGCGAGGAACCUUACCCGGGCUUGAAUUGCAGAGGAAGGAUUUGGAGACAAUGACGCCCUUCGGGGCCUCUGUGAAGGUGCUGCAUGGUUGUCGUCAGCUCGUGCCGUGAGGUGUCGGCUUAAGUGCCAUAACGAGCGCAACCCCUCUCCUUAGUUGCCAUCAGGUUAAGCUGGGCACUCUGGGGACACUGCCACCGUAAGGUGUGAGGAAGGUGGGGAUGACGUCAAAUCAGCACGGCCCUUACGUCCGGGGCUACACACGUGUUACAAUGGCAGGUACAGAGAGACGGUCCCUUGCAAAACGGAUCAAAUCCUUAAAGCCUGUCUCAGUUCGGACUGGGGUCUGCAACCCGACCCCACGAAGCUGGAUUCGCUAGUAAUCGCGCAUCAGCCAUGGCGCGGUGAAUACGUUCCCGGGCCUUGUACACACCGCCCGUCAAGCCAUGAAAGCCGGGGGCGCCUAAAGUCCGUGACCGUAAGGAGCGGCCUAGGGCGAAACUGGUAAUUGGGGCUAAGUCGAAACAAGGUA
rnacentral:rRNA from 1 species